rnacentral:tRNA from 1 species
GCCGGAGUGAUGAAAUUGGUAUACAUGGCAGAUUUAGGAUCUGUUCUUUUAAAGGUAAGGGUUCAAGUCCCUUCUUCGGUACAA